rnacentral:ncRNA from 1 species
CGAAGUAGGAUUAAGCGCGUCAAGUUUUCAGGGAUGGGGAGUCGCCCUGAACCGAAAAGCCUCACGGAAAUCUCCGCGAAGGCUUGCGGUGCUUUUUCCGCACCCGUUG